rnacentral:lncRNA from 1 species
UAGAUGUCCAUUCUGCACAACAGGUCAUCCAGUCUACACAUACUAGGGAAUAGUGACCUUUGGAUUUCCCUUCUUUGAACUCUUGAAAAUAUUUAGGCCAUGUUUAUCAGAAAGUAGAGGUAAGUUUUGAGGCGCGCAGUUUUAGAGUGGCUAGAUCAAUAUUUCAUUAGCAAAAACCAAAGCACACCCCCAAACAAUAUAUUUCUCACUCCCAUGGAGAAAUGUGGAAUGUUAACAUGACUUAAGAGCUACGUGCCUCAAAAGGACAUUUCUACUGACCUUUGUUUCUUUUCUUGCAUCCUCCUUUUCUGCUGUUGUCCCUUCUUAAUACCGUAAUGCUGAAUACUCCUUCCAUUUGGUCUUUGGUGUAGCCUUUUCCACUUUCACCUGCAGCAGACGCAUUGCCCUCCUUCGUGCUACUGGGCUUACUUUGAUCAUUGCUACUGGCUGGUUUUCGGCAGUAAGCGCCUCCCCCAGCAGUACUUCCAUUCUUCGUAAUAGCUUCCAACAAAACUCGGGCCGUCUCGGUGGGGUAGAGCUUCUGGGCCUUGCCGAGGAAGCGGAGGGCGCGGUCGCGGUUGCCGGCCUCCAGCGCCUCCCGCGCGAUCCCGAUGCACUUCUCCGCCUCGUCCCGGUUCCCCUCCAUGGGCUUCUCCUUCCGCCGCCUCCGCCCGCCGCAGCGCAGAGAGAAGGGGCCCGAAGCCAGAGCGGAGCCGGGCGGGGCGGAGCGAGGAGCGGAGCGGCGCGGGCAGGAGGGCGGCCCAGGGCUCCCGUCACUCCGCCAGGCUCAUUCCGCCGCCUCGCCCCGCGCCGCCGGUCCCGCAGCCCAACCGCCGCUCGGCCCAGCAGCCGGCCCGGCCCACCGCCUCC